GACAGAGGGUGCAAACGUUGUUCGGAAUUACUGGGCGUAAAGCGUGUGUAGGCGGUCCUGUAAGUCGGAUGUGAAAGCCCUGGGCUCAACCCAGGAAGUGCACUCGAUACUGCAGGACUAGAGUAUCGGAGAGGUUGGUGGAAUUCUCGGUGUAGAGGUGAAAUUCGUAGAUAUCGAGAGGAACACCGGCGGCGAAGGCGGCCAACUGGACGAAUACUGACGCUGAGACACGAAAGCGUGGGGAGCAAACAGG
rnacentral:rRNA from 1 species